rnacentral:rRNA from 1 species
UACAGAGGUCCCGAGCGUUAGGCGGAAUCACUGGGCUUAAAGCGUGUGUAGGUGGAUGCCUAAGUACCUUGUGAAAUCCCACGGCUUAACCGUGGAACUGCUUGGUAUACUGGGUGUCUUGAGCCAGCUAGGGGCUACCGGAACAAAUGGUGGAGCGGUGAAAUGCGUAGAUAUCAUUUGGAACGCCAAUGGUGAAAACAGGUAGCUGGGGCUGUGCUGACACUGAGACACGAAAGCCAGGGGAGCGAACGGG